GAAUCUUGCACAAUGGAGGAAACUCUGAUGCAGCGACGCCGCGUGAGCGAUGAAGCCCCUCGGGGUGUAAAGCUCUUUCGACGGGAACGAUAAUGACGGUACCCGAAGAAGAAGCUGCGGCUAACUACGUGCCAGCAGCCGCGGUAAUACGUAGGCAGCAAGCGUUGUUCGGAAUUACUGGGCGUAAAGAGUGUGUAGGCGGUGCCCUAAGUUCGGUGUGAAAUCUCCCGGCUCAACUGGGAGGGUGCGCCGGAAACUGGGGUGCUCGAGUAUGGGAGAGGUAAGCGGAAUUCCUGGUGUAGCGGUGAGAUGCGUAGAUAUCAGGAGGAACACCUGUGGUGUAGACAGCUUGCUGGACCAUUACUGACGCUGAGACACGAAAGCGUGGGUAGCAAACAGG
rnacentral:rRNA from 1 species